GGAUUAGAUACCCUGGUAGUCCACGCCGUAAACGAUGAUAACUAGCUGUCCGGGGACCUGGUCUUUGGGUGGCGCAGCUAACGCAUUAAGUUAUCCGCCUGGGGAGUACGGCCGCAAGGUUAAAACUCAAAUGAAUUGACGGGGGCCUGCACAAGCGGUGGAGCAUGUGGUUUAAUUCGAAGCAACGCGCAGAACCUUACCAGCGUUUGACAUGGCAGGACGGUUUCCAGAGAUGGAUUUCUUCCCUUCGGGGACCUGCACACAGGUGCUGCAUGGCUGUCGUCAGCUCGUGCCG
rnacentral:rRNA from 1 species